GCUGGGUGUGGCGGCUCACGCCUGUAAUCCCAGCACUUUGGGAGGCCGAGGUGGGUGGAUCACUUGAGGCCAGGAGUUUGACACCAGCCUGGCCAACAUGGUGAAACCCCAUCUCUA
rnacentral:SRP_RNA from 1 species